AUACGUAGGUGACAAGCGUUAUCCGGAUUUACUGGGCGUAAAGGGCGUGUAGGCGGUCUUGCAAGUCAGAAGUGAAAUUCCUGAGCUCAACUCGGGCGCUGCUUCUGAAACUGCAGGACUUGAGUGCUGGAGGGGAUAGCGGAAUUCCUAGUGGAGCGGUAAAAUGCGCAGAUAUUAGGAAGAACACCGGUGGCGAAGGCGGCUAUCUGGACAGUAACUGACGCUGAGGCGCGAAAGCGUGGGGAGCAAACAGGAUUAGAUACCCGGGUAGUCCACGCCGUAAACGAUGAAUACUAGGUGUAGGGGGUAUCGACUCCCUCUGUGCCGCAGUUAACACAAUAAGUAUUCCGCCUGGGGAGUACGGCCGCAAGGUUGAAACUUAAAGGAAUUGACGGGU
rnacentral:rRNA from 1 species